rnacentral:lncRNA from 1 species
ACCCACCAAGUUACCAUUUCUUCAUUCCACCCUUUCAUUCUGCCUAAACUUUGAUUUCUUCAGCUGCAAGGAAGGCGAUCAUGGCGUUGGUUAAGGCGGAGAUGGUGACGGGACAACCAAGGUCUUUCGGUUUGUCAUGUAGGUCGGUAUGGAACGUGAGGAUCGCCGCCUCUCGAGAGCUUAGCCGGAUAAAUCUUUGAGUUCAUGUCUAUGUGUUCACUUAGGCAAGUCUGAAGCUUGGCUUUUACUUAAUUAACACACUUUUUUUUUUUGGUUUUCAUUUUUGUUCUUGUCAUGGAAAGAAAUUUGAAGGGAUUACAAUAAAAAGUUCGGGAAUUUCAUCUUAAUUUCUAAAUGUUCCUUGCUUAUUAAUGCUUUUAUUAUCUAUAAUUAUAUCGUAUAGUCGACGGAUUAUGCAUUAAAGACAUAAUAUAUGCAAGCUAAGA